GACGAACGCUGGCGGCGUGCUUAACACAUGCAAGUCGAACGGAAAGGCCCUGCUUUUGUGGGGUGCUCGAGUGGCGAACGGGUGAGUAACACGUGAGUAACCUGCCCUUGACUUUGGGAUAACUUCAGGAAACUGGGGCUAAUACCGGAUAGGAGCUCCUGCUGCAUGGUGGGGGUUGGAAAGUUUCGGCGGUUGGGGAUGGACUCGCGGCUUAUCAGCUUGUUGGUGGGGUAGUGGCUUACCAAGGCUUUGACGGGUAGCCGGCCUGAGAGGGUGACCGGCCACAUUGGGACUGAGAUACGGCCCAGACUCCUACGGGAGGCAGCAGUGGGGAAUAUUGCACAAUGGGCGGAAGCCUGAUGCAGCAACGCCGCGUGCGGGAUGACGGCCUUCGGGUUGUAAACCGCUUUCGCCUGUGACGAAGCGUGAGUGACGGUAAUGGGUAAAGAAGCACCGGCUAACUACGUGCCAGCAGCCGCGGUGAUACGUAGGGUGCGAGCGUUGUCCGGAUUUAUUGGGCGUAAAGGGCUCGUAGGUGGUUGAUCGCGUCGGAAGUGUAAUCUUGGGGCUUAACCCUGAGCGUGCUUUCGAUACGGGUUGACUUGAGGAAGGUAGGGGAGAAUGGAAUCCCUGGUGGGAGCGGUGGAAUGCGCAGAUAUCAGGAGGAACACCAGUGGCGAAGGCGGUUCUCUGGGCCUUUCCUGACGCUGAGGAGCGAAAGCGUGGGGAGCGAACAGGCUUAGAUACCCUGGUAGUCCACGCUGUAAACGGCGGGUACUAGGUGUGGGGUCCAUUCCACGGGUUCCGUGCCGUAGCUAACGCUUUAAGUACCCCGCCUGGGGAGUACGGCCGCAAGGCUAAAACUCAAAGGAAUUGACGGGGCCCCGCACAAGCGGCGGAGCAUGCGGAUUAAUUCGAUGCAACGCGUAGAACCUUACCUGGGUUUGACAUGGAUCGGGAGCGCUCAGAGAUGGGUGUGCCUCUUUUGGGGUCGGUUCACAGGUGGUGCAUGGCUGUCGUCAGCUCGUGUCGUGAGAUGUUGGGUUAAGUCCCGCAACGAGCGCAACCCUUGUUCACUGUUGCCAGCACGUUAUGGUGGGGACUCAGUGGAGACCGCCGGGGUCAACUCGGAGGAAGGUGGGGAUGACGUCAAGUCAUCAUGCCCCUUAUGUCCAGGGCUUCACGCAUGCUACAAUGGCUGGUACAGAGAGUGGCGAGCCUGUGAGGGUGAGCGAAUCUCGGAAAGCCGGUCUCAGUUCGGAUUGGGGUCUGCAACUCGACCUCAUGAAGUCGGAGUCGCUAGUAAUCGCAGAUCAGCAACGCUGCGGUGAAUACGUUCCCGGG
rnacentral:rRNA from 1 species